UAGGGAAUCUUCGGCAAUGGGGGCAACCCUGACCGAGCAACGCCGCGUGAGUGAAGAAGGUUUUCGGAUCGUAAAGCUCUGUUGUAAGUCAAGAACGGGUGUGAGAGUGGAAAGUUCACACUGUGACGGUAGCUUACCAGAAAGGGACGGCUAACUACGUGCCAGCAGCCGCGGUAAUACGUAGGUCCCGAGCGUUGUCCGGAUUUAUUGGGCGUAAAGCGAGCGCAGGCGGUUUGAUAAGUCUGAAGUUAAAGGCUGUGGCUCAACCAUAGUUCGCUUUGGAAACUGUCAAACUUGAGUGCAGAAGGGGAGAGUGGAAUUCCAUGUGUAGCGGUGAAAUGCGUAGAUAUAUGGAGGAACACCGGUGGCGAAAGCGGCUCUCUGGUCUGUAACUGACGCUGAGGCUCGAAAGCGUGGGGAGCGAACAGGAUUAGAUACCCUGGUAGUCCACGCCGUAAACGAUGAGUGCUAGGUGUUGGAUCCUUUCCGGGAUUCAGUGCCGCAGCUAACGCAUUAAGCGCUCCGCCUGGGGAGUACGACCGCAAGGUUGAAAC
rnacentral:rRNA from 1 species